CUUGGAUGCAUUAACACGUGGAGUGACCUGCCCUCCACUCUGGGAUAAGCCCGGGAAACUGGGUCUAAUACCGGAUAUGACCUUCUCCUGCAUGGGGGUUGGUGGAAAGUUUUUCGGUGGGGGAUGGGCCCGCGGCCUAUCAGCUUGUUGGUGGGGUGAUGGCCUACCAAGGCGACGACGGGUAGCCGGCCUGAGAGGGCGACCGGCCACACUGGGACUGAGACACGGCCCAGACUCCUACGGGAGGCAGCAGUGGGGAAUAUUGCGCAAUGGGCGAAAGCCUGACGCAGCGACGCCGCGUGGGGGAUGACGGCCUUCGGGUUGUAAACCUCUUUCGCCAGGGACGAAGCGCAAGUGACGGUACCUGGAUAAGAAGCACCGGCCAACUACGUGCCAGCAGCCGCGGUAAUACGUAGGGUGCGAGCGUUGUCCGGAAUUAUUGGGCGUAAAGAGCUCGUAGGCGGUCUGUCGCGUCGGUCGUGAAAACUUGGGGCUUAACCCUGAGCUUGCGGUCGAUACGGGCAUGACUGGAGUUCGGCAGGGGAGACUGGAAUUCCUGGUGUACGGUGAAAUGCGCAGAUAUCAGGAGGAACACCGGUGGCGAAGGCGGGUCUCUGGGCCGAUACUGACGCUGAGAGCGAAAGCGUGGGGAGCAAACAGA
rnacentral:rRNA from 1 species